GGAAGAGUUAGAAGCUUAAACAUGCACAACCAGUACUACAAUACAACAGUGUUACUCCAAUCGUUGGACUUUAGGACCAAACUGAGUGGGAAAAUAUAAAUAAGGAUCAACUAAUCAGCAUGGCAAAAAAAUGAAAAACAUAAGAAGAAAGACUUGAGAAAAGCAUCAUUUUCAAAUUCCAUUCACCGAAAAAGAAACAAAUAACACCAUAUACACAUGUAGGAGUUCAAGAAUAGAUAAGCCAUAUGUGCAGCACCUUAUCUCUUCUUGAAACAUUACUUCCCACAAGAUCUUAUAAGUUAAUAAAAAUGCAGUUACUUCCACCCUU
rnacentral:misc_RNA from 1 species